GACCGAUAGUGAACCAGUACCGUGAGGGAAAGGCGAAAAGAACCCCGGCGAGGGGAGUGAAAAAGAACCUGAAACCGUGUACGUACAAGCAGUGGGAGCACGCUUAGGCGUGUGACUGCGUACCUUUUGUAUAAUGGGUCAGCGACUUAUAUUCUGUAGCAAGGUUAACCGAAUAGGGGAGCCGAAGGGAAACCGAGUCUUAACUGGGCGUUAAGUUGCAGGGUAUAGACCCGAAACCCGGUGAUCUAGCCAUGGGCAGGUUGAAGGUUGGGUAACACUAACUGGAGGACCGAACCGACUAAUGUUGAAAAAUUAGCGGAUGACUUGUGGCUGGGGGUGAAAGGCCAAUCAAACCGGGAGAUAGCUGGUUCUCCCCGAAAGCUAUUUAGGUAGCGCCUCGUGAAUUCAUCUCCGGGGGUAGAGCACUGUUUCGGCAAGGGGGUCAUCCCGACUUACCAACCCGAUGCAAACUGCGAAUACCGGAGAAUGUUAUCACGGGAGACACACGGCGGGUGCUAACGUCCGUCGUGAAGAGGGAAACAACCCAGACCGCCAGCUAAGGUCCCAAAGUCAUGGUUAAGUGGGAAACGAUGUGGGAAGGCCCAGACAGCCAGGAUGUUGGCUUAGAAGCAGCCAUCAUUUAAAGAAAGCGUAAUAGCUCACUGGUCGAGUCGGCCUGCGCGGAAGAUGUAACGGGGCUAAACCAUG
rnacentral:rRNA from 1 species